rnacentral:rRNA from 1 species
UGGUUAUGCUGGAAAGAGCGCAGGGUGGAUGCCUUGGCACUAAGAGCCGAUGAAAGACGUGAUAAGCUGCGAAAAGCUUCGGGGAGGAGCAAAUAUCCAAAGAUCCGGAGAUUUCUGAAUGGGGAAACCCACAUGAGAAGACCUCAUGUAUCCAUACGCCAAUCCAUAACGUAUGGAGGGGAACCCGGUGAACUGAAACAUCUAAGUAGCCGGAGGAGAAGAAAGAAACAUCGAUUUCCAAAGUAGCGGCGAGCGAAAUGGGAAGAGCCCAAACCAGUGUGCGAGCACACUGGGGUUCGGACUGCACAAGCGACUCCUGAGAGUAAUGGAACGGUUUUGGGAAAGCCGGCCAGAGAGGGUGAAAGCCCCGUACAUGAAAGUCAAGGGAGAGCGGCAGGAUCCAGAGUACCACGAGACACGUGGAACCUUGUGGGAAGGAGCGGGGACCACCCCGUAAGGCUAAAUACUCCUUAGUGACCGAUAGCGCAUAGUACUGUGAAGGAAAGGUGAAAAGGACCCCGGGAGGGGAGUGAAAGAGAACCUGAAACCCUGUGUUUACAAGCUGUGGAACCUCUAUAGAAAGAGGGACCGCGUACUUUUUGUAGAACGGUCCGGCGAGUUGCGCUGGCUGGCGAGGUUAAGGGCUGGAAGGCCCGGAGCCGAAGGGAAACCAAGUCUGAAUAGGGCGGGAAGUCAGUUGGAGCAGACCCGAAACCGGGUGAUCUAUCCAUGUCCAGGUUGAAGCUGCCGUAAAAGGCAAUGGAGGACCGAACCCACAUCCGUUGAAAAGGGUGGGGAUGAGGUGUGGAUAGGGGAGAAAUUCCAAUCGAACCCGGAGAUAGCUGGUUCUCCUCGAAAUAGCUUUAGGGCUAGCCUCGAUAGAGUCAGGUGGAGGUAGAGCACUGAAUUUCCUAGGGGGCGUCAAAGCUUACCGAAGAAUAUCAAACUCCGAAUGCCAUGCUGAUGCUUAUCGGGAGUCAGACUGCACGAGAUAAGUUGGGCAGUCAAAAGGGAAAGAGCCCAGACCUGCAGCUAAGGUCCCAAAGUGUGUGUUAAGUGGAAAAGGAUGUGGGAUUUCGAAGACAACUAGGAUGUUGGCUUAGAAGCAGCCAUCCAUUGAAAGAGUGCGUAAUAGCUCACUAGUCGAGAGGUCCUGCGCCGAAAAUGUCCGGGGCUGAAACACACCACCGAAGCUCAGGGAUCUGCAAGAGCAGAUCGGUAGAGGAGCAUUGCAUACAGGAAGAAGCAGUACCGGAAGGAGCUGUGGACUGUAUGGAAGAGAGAAUGCCGGAAUGAGUAGCGAGAGGAAGGUGGGAAUCCUUCCGGCCGAAUAUCCAAGGUUUCCAGGGUAAAGCUGAUCUGCCCUGGGUAAGUCGGGGCCUAAGGCGAGGUCGAAAGACGUAGUCGAUGGAUAACAGGUAGAAAUUCCUGUACUGCUGUACAACAGAACUGUGGGGACGCAGAAAGAGAGCGCGAGCCGGGAAUGGAGAGACCGGUGCAAGCGGGGUAGGAGUGUGUCAGGAAAACCCGGCACACAAUCCGAAGACGUGAUGCGGAGCGAAAGCAUAGUAGCGAAGCGCGUGAGCUGGCUGCCAAGAAAAGCCGCUAUUGUUUGUAGAGUACCCGUACCGUAAACCGACACAGGUGGAUGAGGAGAGAAUCCUAAGGCCGACGGGAGAAGCAUUGUUAAGGAACUCGGCAAAAUGACCCCGUAACUUCGGGAGAAGGGGUGCCAUAGAGAUAUGGCCGCAGAGAAUAGGCCCAAGCAACUGUUUAGCAAAAACACAGGUCUAUGCGAAACCGAAAGGUGAGGUAUAUGGGCUGACGCCUGCCCGGUGCUGGAAGGUUAAGGGGAGAGGUUAGCGGAAACGCGAAGCUUUGAACUUAAGCCCCAGUAAACGGCGGCCGUAACUAUAACGGUCCUAAGGUAGCGA